CUGAACUCAAACAUGAGCGUGUCGCUGACCACGUCGGCAGGAUCGCGCCGCGAGCUCCGGUAAUAAGGCUCGUUCCAGCUGAGCCAGGAGGCCAUGACCUUGGCGGUCCACUGAUGAGGGAGAAACGUUCAGCUGUGUGUGUUUGUCUGAAAUGAGGCUGGAGUUUCCAGAUGUCCAACACAACGGGAGGAGUCAGAAGAUCAAGGUUUGGACAUUCUGAAGUGUGAUUGUUCAGUCGUGUGGUCACUGCAGCUCCAACGGUGACAGAUGGACAGGUGGUCAGCAACUCAGCCUUUAAUCCACACAGAUGGCAGCACAACUCCUGUAAAUCUAUCAAAUCCCAUGUUUA